rnacentral:rRNA from 1 species
GACGAACGCUGGCGGCGUGCCUAAUACAUGCAAGUCGAACGCAGUUGGGACGGGUGAGUAACACGUGGGUCACCUCCCGUCAGAGGGGAUAACACUUGGAAACAGGUGCUAAACCGAUACUGAUGGAUGGACCCGCGGUGCAUUCGCUAGUUGGUGAGGUAACGGCUCACCAAGGCCACGAGGCAUAGCCGAGCUGAGAGGGUGAUUGGCCAAACUGGGAAUGAGAAAAGGCCCAGACUCCGACGGGAGGCAGCAGUAGGGAAACUUCGGCAAUGGACGAAAGUCUGACCGAGCAAAGCCGCGUGAGUGAAGAAGGUUUUCGGAUCGUAAAGCUCUGUUGUUAAGGAAGCGGUACUUAACCAGAAAGGGACGGCUAACUACGUGCCAGCAGCCGCGGUAAUUC